rnacentral:rRNA from 1 species
GACGUAGGGAGCGAGCGUUGUCCGGAUUCAUUGGGCGUAAAGCGCGCGUAGGCGGCCUCGCAAGUCGGUUGUGAAAUCCCGGGGCUCAACCCCGGGACUGCGUCCGAUACUGCGAGGCUGGAGGUAGGUGGGGGAGAUCGGAAUUCCUGGUGUAGCGGUGAAAUGCGCAGAUAUCAGGAGGAACACCGAUGGCGAAGGCAGAUCUCUGGGCCGUACCUGACGCUGAGGCGCGAAAGCGAGGGGAGCGAACAGG